GUUCCAAGAACUUCCAAGCGCCUCUCCGCAGCCUCCUUGUUGUAAUAAAGGCGUGUGAUGCCCGCAGUACCUCAGCUGCACGCAAUUAAUCCCCUACCAGGAUGCUGCUGGAUGAAUGAUUCAGCGACCUUUCAAAGGGCCCGGCUAAUCUUUAUGCACAAACAACAUAUGCUACAACAAAGUUAAUCCAACGCGUCCAUCAAGAAAUUAAGCAGAUUUAUUCGCAGGGGAAGCGACUGCACCAGCAAACACACGAAGGCAGGCAGGAACACGGCACGUUCAGCAGAGCAGGACUCAGCCUUGCCCAGGAUGAAAUGCUCUCCCGCACCAAGGUUCUUGAUUACUACUGUCAGGCUCUCUACAUCUUUGUUCCUCCAAGUGUGGUCCAUGACCCAGAAGUAUGGAGAUCACUGGGAGUUUGCCAGAAAUGCAGUACCUCAUGCCCCAGCCCAGCGUCCGGAAUCAGAAUCUGCUUUUGGACAAGCUCCAGGAGACCCGCAUGCACAUUACAGUUUGGGGUGCUCGGCUCUACUCUGCAGCACCGGCUCUCAACAUCAGUGCGUGUGAGGACCGACUGGAGGGAAGGGAACACAGGAGCCGGGCGUGACUUUUUGACACAGCCUCUUUGACGUAGCCUUUUUGAUGCCGAGUUUGAUAAAUCCUGAAAACAAACCAUCUUUAAUGUGCACAACAGACAUGCUCAGCCUACUUCACCUAUCAGCUUCAGCCUGUCUCUGAAGUUCACACCGUCCCUCAGCCUCAGCUGGUCCCCCCGAGGAGGUGGAACGAAGGAUGCGCAUGGAUGAAGGAUGGUGUUAGGGGUAUUAUUGUGCACAAUACUUGGGAAGACUUGUUAAGCCAGACAGUUCUUACAUUUUGGUGUGACUGCUUUUACGCAGUGUCCGUGACCCACAGUCCCCCACAUCAGCUGGAUCAGGAUUUCCUGCUGCACUUGAUGUCAUGCACAUCACCGGCAAGAAGCAUUCUUUGAGCUUUGCAAGUAGAGGAAGCAUAAUAUGGGGAAUCACGCAUUUGCUCUGGCCAGCGGGUUUACAUGUGUGUGCACUGCAUGGUUAAGAGAACAGGACUGAGUUUGCAUCUGGGAUUAGGUUGUAAAGCUCUUGUCCAGGAUUAAGAGUUCAGGCAAUGGUCAUGAAACAGUUUUCAUCUGUGCGAGCUAACCAGCGAGCCAGCCGGCAGCCUUGAUCCCAUUAACACUAGGCUCUAAUGAGCCUGUGCAACUAGGUAGAGGGAAGCAGAUGACUGUGGGAGCCAAGCAGUAC
rnacentral:lncRNA from 1 species